UGAACGCUGGCGGCGUGCCUAAUACAUGCAAGUCGAGCGAACAGACGAGGAGCUUACUCCUCUGACGUUAGCGGCGGACGGGUGAGUAACACGUGGAUAACCUACCUAUAAGGCUGGGAUAACUUCGGGAAACCGGAGCUAAUACCGGAUAACAUGUUGAACCGCAUGGUUCAACAGUGAAAGACGGUCUUGCUGUCACUUAUAGAUGGAUCCGCGUCGCAUUAGCUAGUUGGUAAGGUAACGGCUUACCAAGGCAACGAUGCGUAGCCGACCUGAGAGGGUGAUCGGCCACACUGGAACUGAGACACGGUCCAGACUCCUACGGGAGGCAGCAGUAGGGAAUCUUCCGCAAUGGGCGAAAGCCUGACGGAGCAACGCCGCGUGAGUGAAGAAGGUCUUCGGAUCGUAAAACUCUGUUACUAGGGAAGAACAAAUGUGUAAGUAACUAUGCACGUCUUGACGGUACCUAAUCAGAAAGCCACGGCUAACUACGUG
rnacentral:rRNA from 1 species